rnacentral:rRNA from 1 species
UACAGAGGUCCCGAGCGUUGUUCGGAUUCACUGGGCGUAAAGGGUGCGUAGGUGGUUGGGUAAGUCUGAUGUGAAAUCUCCGGGCUCAACCCGGAAAUGGCAUUGGAUACUAUUCGGCUAGAGGUUUGGAGGGGGGACUGGAAUUCUCGGUGUAGCAGUGAAAUGCGUAGAUAUCGAGAGGGACACCAGUGGCGAAGGCGAGUCCCUGGACAACACCUGACACUGAGGCACGAAAGCUAGGGGAGCAAACAGG